rnacentral:siRNA from 1 species
CUUCAACAACAAUAUCGGGCCA